rnacentral:misc_RNA from 1 species
CCAAUGAUUGGGAACCAGUUGAGGUUGAUAGAUCUCCUGGUUGCUAAAAUCAAAAUACCCAUCUUUGUGCACCUUUUUUAUGUCUCUGGUGGUCGCAAGAGAAGUCUCUUAUUUGGAGGAUCUCUUCUAGUUCAUUUUGAUCCUCGGACAAAUGAAUGAAGCCACCAAAUGGUUGCUAUAACACACCUUUUUGCCGUCCUAAAUAUCUGUCUAACAUUGAUUUGUGUAAAAUACAUAAAA